GUCCCCGUAGCUCAAUAGGAUAGAGCAUCUGCCUUCUAAGCAGAGGGUUGCCCGUUCAAUUCGGGCCGGGGACG
rnacentral:tRNA from 1 species